rnacentral:rRNA from 1 species
UACCAGCACCCCGAGUGGUCGGGACGUUUAUUGGGCCUAAAGCAUCCGUAGCCGGUUCUACAAGUCUUCCGUUAAAUCCAACUGCUUAACAGGUGGGCUGCGGAAGAUACUAUAGAGCUAGGAGGCGGGAGAGGCAAGCGGUACUCGAUGGGUAGGGGUAAAAUCCGUUGAUCCAUUGAAGACCACCAGUGGCGAAGGCGGCUUGCCAGAACGCGCUCGACGGUGAGGGA